UCGCGGAUAUUCAUUCAUGUGUCGGACCACAUGUGUACAGGUGAUUUUUGCAUAGCUUUUGUGUAUGGCGGCUGGAGGACCAACUCAGACCUCGCUUGCCUCAGGGUCAGGAGGUCCAAGGGGCCACAAGACCGGGCCGGGAGUUUGUGUAAACCUGGGCCAGGAGUUUAUUUGAUAAAGGUUUCCAGAAUGAUUGGCCACACCUACCUAAAAAGUUCGGAAUUUAACCAUGAGCCCCUUCUGGCCUGGUUCCAUAUUCCAAGGCCCUUCCAUAAUCCAAUUCUUUGUCCCGAACCAUCCAUUGAAGAACAUAGACUGUGCAGAAUAUCAGUUUGUUAUAUUUGCAUCAAAUGAACUAUGGGAGCACUUGAACAAUCAGGAAGUUGUGGAUAUAGUUCAUUGUUCACCUCGGAAUGUAAGAUGAUUUGCCAUACUUCCUCAUAUAUUACUCUUUCCCAGUGUACUAAAAUAUGCUUCCCAUUUUAGUCUUGCCUUAUAUUGUUGAUAUGUAACCCAAAUAGGUUAAACCGAAUGUUGUAUCGAAACAUGUAGUAUUUACUUGUAAAAGAGCAACUGAGAGCCUGGUGGGUCGGGAUGAAGGAAGAAUACCCCUGAGAGCCCAAACUGAGUUCGAAAAUAUAUGCAGAAUAUAUAUUUGCCUCUGCUAUAUACAUAUGUAAUUUUCCAGUCUGUGUUUUCUGCUCCUCUUUGGCGCAAUGUGGAAGAUGUUGGUUUUAAAGGCUAGCAGGGCAGCCAGUGGUGGAGUAAUCAGUCGUUUAUGAGGUCAUGGAGCCCAAGACCGGAUGCAGCAGAAGAAGCAGCGUCGUUGCCGUGCACUAAGAAGGUCAACAGAGUCUGUGAGGCGGAAGAUCCAUAGCAUACAGCGGAUGCGUUGGAUAUGCCAUUCCUCAAUGUGUACCUGGAUUCUCUUUGGGCACCUAAUUUUUGGGCAGGUGUUAUGCUAGCAGCCCGCUUCGCUUUGGUCUUCAGAUUAAGCAAUUCUCUGCAUUCAAGGGAAAUGUCAAUAGCUGCUCUCCAAAGCCAACGUCGGUCUGUAUUCAUCUACUGCGUCAGGUUGGCCACGACGAGGAGACGGACGCGACCGCGUCGUCCCAUCGACCUCCGGGGCCUUUGAUAUCUCAGGGUGUGUGUCAUGUUAUGUUGGGUUUCCUGUGAUUUCGGUGCGGGUAGCUACAUAGCGUCCGUGGGCCAUGCGUGUGACAUGCAUGCUAGGUAAUCUUGACUCCGGUGCAACGGUGCUGGAACCGCCUCUGCUGGUUACGACCGCCGUGGCUAUGCUUGAAGGCAGAAUCACCACGAUGACUGUAGUGGCCGCACUCAGAUCAGAACGGCAGCCAAGGUAUAUGAUCAAGCCUUUACUGUCGUCCUUUGAAUUUGGGAUCACGUGCAUCUGCAAGAGAAAGAGCAUGAGAGCCUAAGAGGGUAGUACCACAUUACGAACAAGUUGUUUUUUAUCCAUGGAAUUGAUCUGAUGCGAAGCUGAUGCCACAUAAAAGGACCAAGGAAUGAACACGAAGCAAAUUAUAACUCUCAGGUUCAUGGUUUAGGAGCAGGAAAGAACACUUCCAAUUGUGUAGAUGGGUCAUCCGUAGCAUUUCUCUAAUUAUCCUUAUAGAGACUGAUUUGGAUUGUUGAAGGAAAGGAUCUCAAUUCUCAAUAGCAAACUGCACUGGGACAUCUUGGACCUAUUCUCCACAUUUCUGAGCUAGAUAUGUUGGUGAGCGGGCAGGCGGCGCUAGACAUGGCAGGGCAAGAGAGCACGAGGGAGAAUGUCAAAGGGCGCAACAUAAAUGAGAGUUCACCGUUAUGCUCAUGUGAUCAGAACCUAGAGCAUGGAUACAAGACCUCCAUCAUCGUCUAUGGACAUCAGAGCAGAGGAGAAGUGAUGAUGGACAUCAGACCAGUGAAGACAGUGAGCAUGGGCUCCUAGACGAUACUUAUCAUAUCAUAUUCUCAGUAUAUAGUCAAAAACUGUAUGCCACAUGUACGUUGUGAAUUACUAUGUUAUUUGAUCAUUGAAUUUAUUUCUAAAAAAAUACUCCC